UACUGCUUCUGGAGGACCGGGAGGGGGAAAUUGAGUCCUGAUACCCAGAGGCUUCCUCUUGGGAAAGGCGGGAGCCACCCUUUGAAGCCACAGACCCUAUUCUGGUGUCUUGAAGAGGCCAUGGCCUGAGCGACGGCCUGAGAUAUCAGGGAUUGUAAGUGUUCUGAUGAGUGCUCCAUGAUUGUCUGAAAUACGGGUGCCUGUUUCUGUCCCCGGACCUCCAGGCUCCUCAUAUAGGGGAGAUCCACUACCCUGCUCCGCGUCAGCCUCUGCUUCCAGAGGUUCCUGAUUAGGCGUUCUCGGGCGAAAUAUUUCCUCCUCCUUGUAACUAGGUGGUUCUAGUCCCUCCUCCACUGAGCUUUGCCUCUUCUCAGCUUUAGAAAACUGUUUUUCCAGAGCCUGGUGACGACGUUUGGCCUCCCUAUCCGCUGUCUUAGAAGGUCUUUUACCAGAAAUUGCCCUGGCUUUGAUCCUACCAGCCGCCUCCUGCUUGGAUGAUUUUUGUCUCUUACGACCAGGGGGGGUUUAUGGAGGCUUCCUGCUCUGACUGGAUAGCAUUUGUGUCUGCCAUUUGUCAAUGGGAUAUAUCCCAAUGCAAGUCUAAGAGAGAGAUAAUUUAUUUUAUUUUAUUUUUUUCAAUAUUUAAUGUUUAAUAUUAUUGGAUGGAGGCUAGGGAUAGCGGAGGAAGAUUCUGUCCUUGAAUAGAUUUCCUCAGCUCGGCUGAGUCCCCCGAGCUCGUUAGAAGCCUCCUUCUCUCUGCCUGCUGGCUGAGCUCCAGGAAAAAAAACUAGAAGCCUUCUUGUGCUCCGCCUGCUGGCUGAACUCCAGGAAAACAAAAGAAAGGCGCAUGGCAAUUUAAAGCUCCCUGCCGACUGGCUGAGCUUCAGAAAGAGAGAUAGAGAGCUAUUGAUGGAAGCCGCAGGAGCCCUGGACUAAAGCCGCGGAUCAGCUGGACUAAAAGGUAGAGCCGCGGGAGAUCUGAGCUUCGACAAAAAAAGCUCCACAUGAUAGUCAUGUGGAACAUGGGAGUACUCUGGAAGCAAGAUGCACUGGACUGAUGUUACCCAGUUUGGUAAUAAAAUGUCUGCAAGAAAACACCCAAGCUUAGAAAGCACCAAGGACCCUGCAGUUCAACGCCAGGCUACCAAAUAUUUUCUUCUAUCAGUAUUGUUAAAACUCUUUGCUUUGGUAUUGGAACCAGAAAAGCAGAAACACGCCAUUCUGAAUAACAACAACAACACAACAACAAAAAACUAAGGCUGGUGCAAAGACAAUGUUUCAGGAAGAACAUCUUAUUUGGAAUGCCUGAAAAGUUAUAUAAAGCAGCCACUUCACCAUCGCCUAUAAAUCUUGAAGAGGUCUUUGCUUAAAGCCAAGCAAAGCUCUAAAGCUCCUUUGCAAAACAAUGAGGUCUUUUGCUUCUAAAAUGAAGUGAUCAGAUUGCAUUAUUUUGUUCUUCCAUCCAGCCCUACAAGACUUGCAUAAGUUGGGAAAAUGUUCUGCACGUGUACAGUAUCUUCUAGCUUUUGUAUACGCUACUGGCCACUGGCAAAGAUUGGAAGAUACUAUGAGACUAUGUGAAGUACUUUUCUGAACAUAUCACAUUGUCUUUUUGCUUCAUCAAAAAGAAUUAUAUCACCUGUACCACAAAGCUCUUCUUCCAGGCAAACUCUGUACAAGCUUAAUGCAGUUAUUUUAUUUUAUUGUGAGAAGUACAUUUCCUGGUGGGAUACAUUGCAUUCUCACCUGGUCUUAAUUACACCAAUAAACACACAAUUAUAGCAUAUUUUGCUCCUGGGCAGUUAGAAAGAAAUAAAAUUACAAAUGAGUUUCCAGAUAUAUUUUCAAUGGUGUAUUUCAUCCAGAAACAAAGUGGCAAAUAAACAAACAAUCUUUAUUUAUAAAGGGAGAAGAGCCUACCAUACAUAUUAUUUACAACAAAACUAAUGGCUUGGAACACUAAAAACUGAAGAAUCAAUUGACUGAAAUAUCCCUAAUGUACUUUUAAAGAAAAUAAAGAGGUAUUAAAAUUA